GCGCCCGUAGCUCAGUUGGAUAGAGUGUUGGACUCCGACUCCAAAGGUCGCUGGUUCGAAUCCAGUCGGGCGUA
rnacentral:tRNA from 1 species